UAUCCGUAGGUGAACCUGCGGAGGGAUCAUUACAGAGUUUUUGCCCGCAAGGGUAGAUCUCCCACCCUAUGUUAUUCCUUCUCUGUUGCUUUGGCGGGCCGUCCGGCCUCGGUCAGGCCACCGGCUCCGGCUGGUGAGCGCCCGCCAGAGGACCCCAAACCCUAAAUGUCAGUGUCGUCUGAGUACUAUAUAAUAGUUAAAACUUUCAACAACGGAUCUCUUGGUUCUG
rnacentral:misc_RNA from 1 species